rnacentral:rRNA from 1 species
UACGUAGGGUGCGAGCGUUGUCCGGAAUUACUGGGCGUAAAGGGCUCGUAGGCGGCCAACUAAGUCGGAUGUGAAAUCCCCAAGCUUAACUUGGGAACUGCAUCCGAUACUGGAUGGCUUGAAUCCGGGAGAGGGAUGCAGAAUUCCCGGUGUAGCGGUGAAAUGCGCAGAUAUCGGGAGGAACACCAAUGGCGAAGGCGGGUCUCUGGACAGUUCCGUGACGCUGAGGCACGAAGGCCAGGGGAGCAAACGGG